rnacentral:rRNA from 1 species
GAUGAACGCUGGCGGCGUGCCUAAUACAUGCAAGUCGAACGGAGAGAGUAGCAAUACUGUCUUAGUGGCGAACGGGUGAGUAACGCGUUGGUGACCUGCCCCGAAGAGGGGGAUAACAGUUCGAAAGGACUGCUAAUACCCCAUGACCUCUACCUAGUUAGAGAAGGUAGAAAAAGGAGUAAUCCGCUUUGGGAGGGGCCUGCGUCCCAUCAGCUAGUUGGUAAGGUAACGGCUUACCAAGGCGAUGACGGGUAGGGGACCUGAGAGGGUGGCCCCCCACAAUGGAACUGAAACACGGUCCAUACACCUACGGGUGGCUG